rnacentral:rRNA from 1 species
CCUACGGGCGACUGCAGUGGGGAAUAUUGCACAAUGGGCGCAAGCCUGAUGCAGCGACGCCGCGUGCGGGAUGGAGGCCUUCGGGUUGUAAACCGCUUUUGUUCAAGGGCAAGGCACGGUCUUUGGCCGUGUUGAGUGGCUUGUUAGAAUAAGCACCGGCUAACUCAGUGCCAGCAGCCGCGGUAAUACGUAGGGGGCACGCGUUAUCCGGAUGUAUUGGGCGUAACGGGCUCUUAGGCGGUUCGUCGCGUCCGGUGUGAAAGUCCAUCGCUUAACGGUGGAUCCGCGCCGGGUACGGGCGGGCUUGAGUGCGGUAGGGGAGACUGGAAUUCCCGGUGUAACGGUGGAAUGUGUAGAUAUCGGGAAGAACACCAAUGGCGAAGGCAGGUCUCUGGGCCGUUACUGACGCUGAGGAGCGAAAGCGUGGGGAGCGAACAGGAUUAGAUACCCUGGUAGUC